rnacentral:tRNA from 1 species
GGAGGGGAUUAGCUCAGUACAGGAGAGCACCUGCCUUACAAGCAGGGGGUCGGCGGUUCAGCCGUCAUCCUCCACCA